AUGUUGACCCCACUCUCCUUCCGGUCCUUUCCUUUCUCACCUGGUGCACAGCUUGCUUUCCUCAUCUAUGUCUCUCCCACAGGGCCCAGCACACAGUGUGCUUAGACAUUCUCUUUGAAUGAGUAGUUUCUUCCCCCUGACUCUGCUGCCUCCAUGUUUUGCCUCCUUUUCUCAUCGGAGAUCCUGGAAGUCUCUUUAUCACAUAUUCUUAGGCAGGACAUUGGUGUGGACUUUGCAGAUGAGCAGGUCCAGUUUGGAAUUCUCCCAGUGCAGAGUUCCAGGCCCACUGGACAUUAAUGAGGGGAGAUCAGGGAGCAAGUGGAGCUUCAUGGAGAGACUGGAUAUCUAUCUGGAGGUGUGCCCAAGCUAUUUCUGGAGGUAGAGACAUGUUGAACAGGGUUGGGAAGAAUGUGUUCUAGGCAGUGUGAGGGCUGAUGUUAACACCAGCAAGACAUGCAUGUGUGGGGAAAAAUUUGUUCUGUUCAAGCAGGAGACACAGAAAAGUUUGUUAGCAGGAAAGUGGUAAAAACGGUGCAAAGAAAGACUUAAAAUACCAUCUUAGAAGUUUGGAUCAGAUAGAGAGGAGGAAACUCUGUGUGUGUGUGUGUGUGUGUGUGUGUGUGUCUUUUUAAGACUUGAAGAAAGUGUCAUUUUCCAGAAAGACAGUAGGGAGUACUCCCACUUCAGUUUUCUGGGGCAAUGUAGUAGUCAGGAAGAAUGUGAUUUAGGCCCUUGUCUUGUGAAUCUGAGUGAGAGGUGAGAGUAUCUUGUAUUUAGAGUUACAAAUUUUAUGGACCAAGAGGGUGGACCACAGAGUAUGGCAGGAGGCUGGCCCUGGAUAUGCAAUAUUGGCAAACCAUAGGAACCUAGUAGGUAGAGGUUGUAUGGACAAGGCGCUAAGGGUCCGUGUGACUUCAUGUCAGCUGAAUUGAAUUGAGGGUGAGGUUGGUGAUCUCCAAAUAUCUGAAACCAAUGGUUUCAGUUGGAAUUCCUUAGAUGUAUUCAAAACUUUUAUGUUAUUAUCCCGAAUAAAGUCCUUAGAGGCUGCCUUGUCA
rnacentral:lncRNA from 12 species